UGUAGCCGGGUCGGCAAGUCAGAUGUGAAAUCUGGAGGCUCAACCUCCAAACUGCAUUUGAAACUGCUGAUCUUGAGUAUCGGAGAGGUAAUCGGAAUUCCUUGUGUAGCGGUGAAAUGCGUAGAUAUAAGGAAGAACACCAGUGGCGAAGGCGGAUUACUGGACGACAACUGACGGUGAGGCGCGAAAGCGUGGGGAGCAAACA
rnacentral:rRNA from 1 species